CAAAAUAAAGCUAGAUAGCGUUUCACUUACAUUGAAAAGAAUUAUCGUAAAAUCGAUUUGUUUUGA
rnacentral:tRNA from 1 species